rnacentral:rRNA from 1 species
AUUGAACGCUGGCGGCAGGCCUAACACAUGCAAGUCGAGCGGAUGAAGGGAGCUUGCUCCUGGAUUCAGCGGCGGACGGGUGAGUAAUGCCUAGGAAUCUGCCUGGUAGUGGGGGAUAACGUCCGGAAACGGGCGCUAAUACCGCAUACGUCCUGAGGGAGAAAGUGGGGGAUCUUCGGACCUCACGCUAUCAGAUGAGCCUAGGUCGGAUUAGCUAGUUGGUGGGGUAAAGGCCUACCAAGGCGACGAUCCGUAACUGGUCUGAGAGGGUGAUCAGUCACACUGGAACUGAGACACGGUCCAGACUCCUACGGGAGGCAGCAGUGGGGAAUAUUGGACAAUGGGCGAAAGCCUGACGCAGCCAUGCCGCGUGUGUGAAGAAGGUCUUCGGAUUGUAAAGCACUUUAAGUUGGGAGGAAGGGCAGUAAGUUAAUACCUUGCUGUUUUGACGUUACCAACAGAAUAAGCACCGGCUAACUUCGUG